rnacentral:rRNA from 1 species
AGAACGACUCUCGGCAAUGGAUAUCUUGGCUCUCGCAUCGAUGAAGAACGUAGCGAAAUGCGAUACUUGGUGUGAAUUGCAGAAUCCCAUGAACCAUCGAGUCUUUGAACGCAAGUUGUGCCCGAAGCCUUCUGGCCCAGGGCACGUCUGUCUGGGCGUCA